CCACCGUGUGCCAAGACUGUCCAAAACAUCAUCCUCAUGAACAUCAGCCACAUGGUCGGUGCUGCCACCGUGUAGGACAUGACUGAGGCCAGCACCGUGGAGCCGUGAACCAGCCAGCCCAGUGGAGUCCCCAGAAGGCUGAGAGCUCAUGAGGUCCCCCUCCUUCUCAGAGCCAGAAGACAAUUCAUAAGGUGCUUCAGAUGUCCAGCCAGGGCAUCUCUCCGGCGACAGGCGUAGUUGCAAGUGGGACAUUUGAAAGGUUUCUCUCCCGAAUGCAACUUGAUGUGACGCAGCAAGUUCCCCUUCUGGGUGAAGGAAGCCCCACACUGGUUACACUGGAACGGCCGCUCACCUGUUAACACAUGGAUGGACUGAGGAUUUUAGAGCUCCAGCGAACUCUGCGCUCCCUUCUUCCAUGGGUUCCCCUCUGUCAUCCCUCCUGCUAUCGUCCCUCACAGCCUCUCUGUUCUCUGGCUGUGGAGCACCUGGUG